AGAGAGGUGGCCGAGUGGACGAUGGCGCACGCUUGGAAAGCGUGUAUACGGCAACGUAUCGAGGGUUCGAAUCCCUUCCUCUCUGCCA
rnacentral:tRNA from 2 species